UGCAUAUCAAAAAGCGGAGGAAAAGAAACCAACAGGGAUUGCCUCAGUAACGGCGAGUGAAGCGGCAACAGCUCAAAUUUGAAAUCUGGCCCUUUCAGGGUCCGAGUUGUAAUUUGUAGAGGAUGUUUCGGCGAGGGCUCCCGUCUAAGUUCCCUGGAACGGGACGUCAUAGAGGGUGAGAAUCCCGUAUGUGAUGGGUUGCUCGAGCCAUGUGAAACUCCUUCGACGAGUCGAGUUGUUUGGGAAUGCAGCUCUAAAUGGGAGGUAAAUUUCUUCUAAAGCUAAAUACCGGCCAGAGACCGAUAGCGCACAAGUAGAGUGAUCGAAAGAUGAAAAGCACUUUGGAAAGAGAGUUAAAAAGUACGUGAAAUUGUUGAAAGGGAAGCGCUUGCAACCAGACUUGUCCGCAGUUGCUCAGCCGGUCUCCUGACCGGUGUACUCUUCUGCGGCCAGGCCAGCAUCAGUUCGGGCGGUUGGAUAAAGGCCCCGGGAAUGUGGCUCUCUUCGGGGAGUGUUAUAGCCCGGGGCGGAAUGCAGCCAGCCUGGACUGAGGAUCUCGCUUCGGCAAGGAUGCUGGCGUAAUGGUUGUAAGCGGCCCGUCUUGAACCCACGGGACCCA
rnacentral:rRNA from 1 species